rnacentral:rRNA from 1 species
GACGUAGGAGGCGAGCGUUGUCCGGAUUCAUUGGGCGUAAAGAGCACGCAGGCGGUUUGGCAAGUCGGAUGUGAAAACCCGAAGCUCAACUUCGGGCCUGCAUUCGAUACGGGCAGGCUAGAGUUCGGUAGGGGAGACUGGAAUUCCUGGUGUAGCGGUGAAAUGCGCAGAUAUCAGGAGGAACACCGAUGGCGAAGGCAGGUCUCUGGGCCGAUACUGACGCUGAGGAGCGAAAGCGUGGGGAGCGAACAGG